rnacentral:rRNA from 1 species
UACGUAGGGUGCAAGCGUUGUCCGGAAUUAUUGGGCGUAAAGAGCUCGUAGGUGGCCUGUCGCGUCGGCUGUGAAAACUCGGGGCUCAACUCCGAGCUUGCAGUCGAUACGGGCAGGCUAGAGUUCGGCAGGGGAGACUGGAAUUCCUGGUGUAGCGGUGAAAUGCGUAGAUAUCAGGAGGAACACCGGUGGUGUAAACGGCUUUCUGGACCAUAACUGACGCUGAGGCACGAAAGCGUGGGUAGCAAACAGG